UACAGAGGUCUCAAGCGUUGUUCGGAUUCAUUGGGCGUAAAGGGUGUGUAGGUGGCGCCGUAAGUCGGGUGUGAAAUUUCGGAGCUUAACUCCGAAACUGCAUUCGAUACUGCGGUGCUUUGAGGACUGGAGAGGAGACUGGAAUUCAUGGUGUAGCAGUGAAAUGCGUAGAGAUCAUGAGGAAGACCAGUGGCGAAGGCGGGUCUCUGGACAGUUCCUGACACUGAGACACGAAGGCCAGGGGGAGCAAACGGGG
rnacentral:rRNA from 1 species